ensembl:lncRNA
GUUUAUCAGAGACCUAAGCAGUAGUGGGCCCACAUACGUAUGGCAUCCUAUCGCUGUGCUUUAUCCCAAUGCUUUAUUUCUCUCUGAAAGUAAUAAGGAUUGACUCUAUAAUGACUUCUUAAAGGUUGGGUAUGGGAUUUGCGAAACGCCAGCAGAUUUUGAAACUACACAACUCAAAUGGUCCUACCCCCUCUCCUUCAACGCUGACCCCGCCCAUUCCAAGUACAUGGACGCGCAAUCAUCUAGCGAGCCAGGCUAGCUAGGUUGGAGUUUAGGGUUGUCUUCUAGUGCUAGGUACAAAUGUGGUAUUUCCAAAUUAGCUAGUUAGCUAGCUGCAAUAGCUACCGCAGGCUCACAACAAACAGAAGCUUGCUCUAGGACACAAGCUUUGAGUACGUGCACGAAGGGGUCACGCGCGGGGGCAGUGGGAGUGCAGUACAACCGUUUGAUUGACGUACCUUCUGUCCAAUGCCACUCGUGGUUCUGGAAAUCAUUGGCUGGAGUUUUUCGAGCCCUACCCGUUCCACAGAUGAUUGACUUGUUUAAUUUUAAUGUCAGUACUUCUAACUCAGUGGCUGUGAGUGGGUUAUGAUAAGGAUUUCAAGUAAUUUUUCCAUUCCAUACCCAACCUUUAAGAUUUAACCACCUCCGUAUUGCCACAUCUUAUCAGGAAGGGAAACACCUCCAUGAGGUAGGACACGCCUGCCAGUUAAGGAAAUAUGGUUUCGGUUUCUAAUAAACUUUCAGGUGAACAGCAGAAGCUGGCAGACAGUAUCACAGCCUACACAGACAGUGUGUCUUCAUUGAGAUCAAUUUAGAAAACGUGUUUCUGUUGGACGCUGUGGAGGAGGAUAAUAGGGGAGCCUGACACUAAAGCGGACGGAACCUAUUGCAGUUCAAACACAAUCUCACCAGGUAAUACAUUUAAUUACAUUUUACGGCUGCCAAGCCUAAAGCGGACCAAUAAGACCAUGACAGACCAUUAAGACCCUGACGCAGACCAUGAAUAAUCUGAUUGAGCAUUAAGACCGUGAAGCAAACCUUAAAGACCCUGAAAAAGACAAUUAAGACCGAUAUUGUUUGCAUACGGUUGACGCUGGAAUAACCUCAGCUUGGAUCUGUCAAUGGGCAAACAAAUUUCAUGACCACCACACGUCUAAAGGCUGAGGAGUUAUGAGUUUUUCAAGUUUCAAAUUGAUUGCCUUUGCUCCACCUAUCAUCCUAUUUUGAUUAACUUUAGCCUGGUUAACCUUGACCUAUGCUUCUUUAUGUGCAUCAAGUUUGGUGAUAAUUGACUCAAGUUAACCCCGCCUUUAGUCACCUAACAUAGAUUGGGAUAAUUUGGACGUCCAGCCACGGGUUUCCUAGGAACAUUUGCUCAACAUGAGGGGAUACAAAUUUCUACAGGAUUUCAUGACU